rnacentral:rRNA from 1 species
GACGAACGCUGGCGGCGUGCCUAAUACAUGCAAGUAGGACGCAGUUGCGAACGGGUGAGUAAUACGUGAGUAACCUGCCCUCCUUUUUGGGCUAAGCCUUGGAAACGGGGUCUAAUACCGAAUAAAGGGGGAUGGGCUCGCGGGCUAUCAGCUUGUUGGUGGGGUGAUGGCCUACCAAGGCGGUGACGGGUAGCCGGCCUGAGAGGGUGACCGGCCACAUUGGGACUGGGAUACGGCCCAGACUCCUAAGGGGAGCAGCAGUGGGGGAUAUUGCACAAUGGGCGAAAGCCUGAUGCAGCGACGCCGCGUGAGUGAAGAAGGUUUUCGGAUCGUAAAGCUCUGUUGUUAAGGAAGGAGGACUUGACCAGAAAGGGACGGCUAACUACGUGCCAGCAGCCGCGGUAAUUC